AUGGCGUGCUCCCUUGUCUUUUCGGAGACAGAGCAGCUAUCAUGCGGGAGGGGCAGCAGUAAAUGGCGUCAUGUGGAUCCGAGGCGGAACAGAGCAGUUGUUGUCCCAGAGGAUAUAUCGCAUCCGGUCCCAGCUCAUUGGCUCCGCGGGGCUACAUUCACUCACACUUCAGCGCCCGCCAGCGCUCCGAGCCGCAGGAGGCAUUCAAAAGGGCAACCGCGCCGCCCCGCGCGUCCCCAGGCCGGUCCUGCCGCCCGGGCGCCGGCGCGCGGGGCGCCCGCGGGGCCGCGCCGGGCACGGCGGCUCACUCUGCCUAGUUGCACGGAAACCCCGACCCGAAGGUUUCCCCGGAGGCCGCGAGGACGAGCCGCGGGCUCGGACCCGACCUGGGGCACUUUCUCCUCGCCCCUGGGAAAGGGGGAGGGGAAGGGAACGGCCAAGCCCGACCCGGGCCACGCAGUGCUGUGCUGGCACGAAAACAACGAGGCACCAGCGCAAGCCGCCUCCCCCGCCUCGCAGCCGCGGACCGGAGGCGCGGAAUGCAGCUUCGGGGCUCCAGCACUUUGUGCCCCGACCGAGACUGGCCAUUGAUGGACUCACUCUGUAGUUUUCAGAGACUUAGCUAAGCGAUGGAAGAUCUGCUGUUGGACGCACUAGCUGAAGGGAACUCUGCGGUCGGAGCCUUUUUAAAAAUUCGUUAAUCACCUACACGGGGACUCAAGGUCGACACGCCGGGCUCCUGAAACGGUCCGGGGCUCGCUGUUCCCGGCAGAGUCCCUCCGCUUAGCCAAAAGGCCGCCGUCAUUUCUGACUCGCCCUUGUCACCUAGAGCAUUUCCCAAGAAGCUCCUGUUUUUGUACGUUUCGAAGGUGGUCUGUAUGCUCCCACUUUAAAAAAAAAAAAAAAAAAGGAGAAAUAAGAUAGAAAACGCGUAGGUACGCAGGGCUCUAACUGCCGUUCAUUUACUUAAGAAACGUGCUUGCACGUGGGCGCACCGGUGGGAAAUGACCCCCCCCCCAACACACACACACACACACACACACUCCUGAUGCUCCUGGAUUCUAAUAAUUUACGGACUGUUUCCACUUUGCAGGGAAGUACGGCCAAGCCUCCCGAACAGCACCUGCCCUCGUGCGGGGUGAGGGUUCUUGCAAUAGCGCGGGGAAGGCGCGCUGCCUUCUUCUGCAGAACCGGGGGCAGCUCCAGCUCACACCCGUUUGCAGCUACUCCGGCACUCGCUGCCGUGUCUAGACCGCCCCGGGCGCGCUCCCCGCCGCGCUGCGCUCUCGCCCUGCCUUCUCCAUGUUUCUCUAGGGCUCUCCCCACUCGCCCUGGGUUUGGAACAAGAGAUGGCAGGGGAAGUGGCAUGCGUGAUUUCCGGGUGUUGGCCUACGCCCCCCGCCCCCCACCCCCCACCCCUCGGUGAGGGUGCACGAGGCUAGGUCGGCCCGCUCCGGCGUGUCCCUGGGGCUGAGGGCAAGGGACUAACUACCCGGCCUCUCCCCGGCCCGGGCAGCUCGCCCGACGCCCAGGUCCUUUGAGCUUCGGGGUGAACGCGGGCGCCGCUGCGUUUACGGCCCGUGCGGCCACCAGGGGGCGCCCGCCCGGCGCGGG
rnacentral:lncRNA from 12 species